rnacentral:rRNA from 1 species
GGCAGAGGGUGCAAACGUUGUUCGGAAUUACUGGGCGUAAAGCGCGUGUAGGCGGCAAGGCAAGUCGGAUGUGAAAGCCCACGGCUCAACCGUGGAAGUGCACCCGAAACUGCCUCGCUAGAGUCUCGGAGAGGAAGGUGGAAUGCUUGGUGUAGAGGUGAAAUUCGUAGAUAUCAAGCGGAACACCGGUGGCGAAGGCGGCCUUCUGGACGAUGACUGACGCUGAGACGCGAAAGCGUGGGGAGCAAACAGG